CACGUAGGGGCCAAGCGUUGUCCGGAUUUAUUGGGCGUAAAGAGCUCGUAGGCGGUUCGACAAGUCGGGUGUGAAAACUCCGGGCUCAACCCGGAGACGCCACCCGAUACUGUCGUGACUGGAGUCCGGUAGGGGAGUGGGGAAUUCCUGGUGUAGCGGUGAAAUGCGCAGAUAUCAGGAGGAACACCCGUGGCGAAGGCGGUUCUCUGGGACGGUACUGACGCUGAGACGCGAAAGCGUGGGGAGCGAACAGG
rnacentral:rRNA from 1 species